GCUUGUCUCAAAGAUUAAGCCAUGCAUGUCUAUGUAUAAACAAGUAUACUGUGAAACUGCGAAUGGCUCAUUAAAUCAGUUAUAGUUUAUUUGAUAGUACCUUACUACUUGGAUAACCGUGGUAAUUCUAGAGCUAAUACAUGCUAAAAAACCCGACUUCUGGAAGGGACGUAUUUAUUAGAUUUAAGGCCAACCGAGCUUGCUCGUCUCUUGGUGAAUCAUGAUAACUUCACGAAUCGCAUGGCCUCGCGCCGGCGAUAUUUCAUUCAAAUUUCUGCCCUAUCAAUUGGCGAUGGUAGGAUAGAGGCCUACCAUGGUGUUAACGGGUGACGGGGGAUUAGGGUUCGAUUCCGGAGAGGCAGCCUGAGAAACGGCUACCACAUCCAAGGAAGGCAGCAGG
rnacentral:rRNA from 1 species